CCACUCACAGGGCCGCCCAGAGAAUGAUGCCUGAAACCGGCAUUCCCAGUCCCUGCGGAGGCCCCAGUCAUGGGGAACCCCAUUCAGCGCCACAAAAGGCUUCUGGGCCUUCCUUACAGCUGCUCCGUCUCCUUCUAGCAUUUUCCAGCUCUCCCUUCUCCUUUUGCUCAGCUGUUCUUCCUUCAAUCUGCCUUCCUUCCUCCAUCCCUACAGCCGUCUCCUCUCUAAUCUCAUCUCCAGAGAUGGAUUCCACGAUUCCCCCAGGUGGCCGCUCAGCAGCUCAGACUUCCCUUUCCUAACACUGACUACAUUUUAUGGUGACUAUUUCUCUGACUUUUCUGCCAAAUCGUAGGUUUCACAAGCCAGGGACUAUGCCUGGAAGACUAACCUCAGACUCUGUCCCCACAGGGAUUUCUGUGCAUCGUGGGGCUUAAAAAAGAAGAGAAGAAGAAGAGG